rnacentral:rRNA from 1 species
GAUGAACGCUGGCGGCGUGCCUAAUACAUGCAAGUCGAGCGAACGGACGAGAAGCUUGCUUCUCUGAUGUUAGCGGCGGACGGGUGAGUAACACGUGGAUAACCUACCUAUAAGACUGGGAUAACUUCGGGAAACCGGAGCUAAUACCGGAUGAUAUUUUGAACCGCAUGGUUCAAAAGUGAAAGACGGUCUUGCUGUCACUUAUAGAUGGAUCCGCGCUGCAUUAGCUAGUUGGUAAGGUAACGGCUUACCAAGGCAACGAUGCAUAGCCGACCUGAGAGGGUGAUCGGCCACCCUGGAACUGAGACACGGUCCAGACUCCUACGGGAGGCAGCAGUAGGGAAUCUUCCGCAAUGGGCGAAAGCCUGACGGAGCAACGCCGCGUGAGUGAUGAAGGUCUUCGGAUCGUAAAACUCUGUUAUUAGGGAAGAACAUAUGUGUAAGUAACUGUGCACAUCUUGACGGUACCUAAUCAGAAAGCCACGGCUAACUACGU